rnacentral:rRNA from 1 species
GAGUGUAGACGGUAAAGCAAGUCUGAAGUGAAAGCCCGGGGCUCAACCCCGGGACUGCUUUGGAAACUGUUUAACUAGAGUGCUGGAGAGGUAAGCGGAAUUCCUAGUGUAGCGGUGAAAUGCGUAGAUAUUGGGAGGAACACCAGUGGCGAAGGCGACUUUCUGGACUACAACUGACGCUGAGGCACGAAAGCGUGGGAAGCAAACA